AGAGUUUGAUCCUGGCUCAGGAUUAACGCUGGCGGCGUGCCUAAUACAUGCAAGUCGAACGAGGGACUUUUGUAGCAAUACGAGGGUUUCCUAGUGGCGAAUGGGUGAGUAACGCGUUGGUGACCUGCCCCGAAGUGAGGGAUAACAGUUCGAAAGGACUGCUAAUACCACAUGUGGUCAGUGGGUUUAGAAGCUGCUGACUGAAGGAGCAAUUCGCUUCGGGAGGGACCUGCGUCCCAUCAGCUAGUUGGUAGGGUAACGGCCUACCAAGGCUACGACGGGUAGGGGGCCUGAGAGGGUGGCCCCCCACAUUGGCACUGACACACGGGCCAAACACCUACGGGUGGCAGCAGUAGGGAAUAUUGCACAAUGGGCGAAAGCCUGAUGCAGCAACGCCGCGUGCGCGAUGAAGGCCUUCGGGUCGUAAAGCGCUUUUUGGGGAGAUGAGAAAGGACAGUAUCCCCAGAAUAAGGAUCGGCUAACUACGUGCCAGCAGCCGCGGUAACACGUAGGAUCCAAGCGUUAUCCGAAUUUACUGGGCGUAAAGCGCGUGCAGGCGGUUUGGUAAGUUGGAUGUGAAAGCUCCUGGCUCAACUGGGAGAGGCCGUUCAAAACUACCAGACUAGAGGGCGGUAGAGGGAGGUGGAAUUCCCGGUGUAGUGGUGAAAUGCGUAGAUAUCGGGAGGAACACCAGUGGCGAAAGCGACCUCCUGGACCGUACCUGACGCUCAGACGCGAAAGCUAGGGGAGCGAACGGGAUUAGAGACCCCGGUAGUCCUAGCCGUAAACGAUGCAGACUUGGCGUCGGUGGGGUAAAAGCCAUCGGUGCCGAAGCUAACGUGAUAAGUCUGCCGCCUGAGGACUACGGCCGCAAGGUUAAAACUCAAAGGAAUUGACGG
rnacentral:rRNA from 1 species